rnacentral:rRNA from 1 species
CCUACGGGAGGCAGCAGUGGGGAAUAUUGCGCAAUGGUCGAAAGCCUGACGCAGCGACGCCGCGUGAGGGAUGAAGGUCUUCGGAUCGUAAACCUCUGUCAGCAGGGAAGCACGGUCACUGUGCUAAUCAGCAGUGAAUUGACGGUACCUGCAAAGGAAGCACCGGAUAACUCCGUGCCAGCAGCCGCGGUAAUACGGAGGGUGCGAGCGUUAAUCGGAAUUACUGGGCGUAAAGCGCUCGUAGGCGGUAUGUCAAGUCAAGGGGGAAAUCCCCGCGCUCAACGUGGGAACUGCCUUUGAAACUGGCAAAGUGGAGUGUGUGAGAGGAUAGUGGAAGUCCAGGUGGAGGAGUGAAAUCCGUAGAUAUCUGGAGGAACAUCAGUGGCGAAGGCGACUAUCUGGCACAUAACUGACGCUGAGGAGCGAAAGCGUGGGUAGCAAACAGGAUGAGAUACCCCAGUAGUC